GGCCUCAUUGGCCGGAAGGGAUUCCUUCCGGUCGAUGAGGCUGUUCCACCUCAUCUAUCGGAAGGAAUUCCUUCCGGUCGAUGAGGUA
rnacentral:miRNA from 1 species